AGCAGCCGCGGUAAUUCCAGCUCCAAUAGCGUAUAUUAAAGUUGUUGCAGUUAAAAGCUCGUAGUUGAAUUUCGGGGUCAGCAGGUUGGUCGUGCCAAUGGUAUGCACUGGCCUUGGUGAUUCCUCCCUCUUGUAGAACCGUAAUGCCAUUAAGUUGGUGUUGCGGGGAAACAGGACUGUUACUUUGAAAAAAUUGAGUGUUUAAAGCAGGCUAACGCCUGAAUACAUUAGCAUGGAAUAAUGAAAUAGGACGAUCGAUCCUAUUUUGUUGGUUUCUAGGAUUGACGUAAUGAUUAAUAGGGAUAGUUGGGGGCAUUAGUAUUCAAUUGUCAGAGGUGAAAUUCUUGGAUUUAUUGAAGACUAACUACUGCGAAAGCAUUUGCCAAGGAUGGUUUCAUUAAUCAAGAACGAAAGUUAGGGAUCGAAGACGAUCAGAUACCGUCGUAGUCUUAACCAUAAACUAUGCCGA
rnacentral:misc_RNA from 1 species